GAACGCAGAAAGCAUGGUUACGUGCACAUAAAUUGAUUUGGGUCUCUAGGUCUACCCUCUCUGAUACCUUUCGGCUUUAAUUUGGGAGUAUAAUUCUACAGCAAGACA